rfam:Jatropha curcas cultivar GZQX0401 scaffold266_67, whole genome shotgun sequence.
AAUUGAAGAGUGUGUCAGCAUAGCCAAAGUUGACUGCCCACAGCCAAAAAUUAAGUUUUUGAAUAAUAAAACAAAAGAAAUUGAAUUGAAACCAUUUAAUAGAGAGUGGGCAAGUCAUCCUUGGCUAACAAACAACACUCUUUACU